rnacentral:lncRNA from 1 species
UAUGUUCACGACAGUUACGACUAAAUGGAAACCAGGCUUAAGAAUGGACAAAAUAUAUAUGGACGAAAUAUUUAGAUUCAUUUGCCAGCAAAAUAUUUGAUAGUUUUCAUUGUACUAAGUUGUCAUGUUACUUUUCAUAUGUAGUAAGGUAUCGUGUUAGAUAUAGUUUUCAUACAAGUAGUAAGGUGUGUUAGUUUUCUUA